GAUGAACGCUGGCGGCGUGCCUAAUACAUGCAAGUCGAGCGAACAGAUGAGAAGCUUGCUUCUCUGAUGUUAGCGGCGGACGGGUGAGUAACACGUGGGUAACCUACCUAUAAGACUGGGAUAACUCCGGGAAACCGGGGCUAAUACCGGAUAAUAUUUUGAACCGCAUGGUUCAAUAGUGAAAGACGGUUUCGGCUGUCACUUAUAGAUGGACCCGCGCCGUAUUAGCUAGUUGGUAAGGUAACGGCUUACCAAGGCGACGAUACGUAGCCGACCUGAGAGGGUGAUCGGCCACACUGGAACUGAGACACGGUCCAGACUCCUACGGGAGGCUGCAGUAGGGAAUCUUUCGCAAUGGGCGAAAGCCUGACGGAGCAACGCCGCGUGAGUGAUGAAGGUCUUCGGAUCGUAAAACUCUGUUGUUAGGGAAGAACAAAUUUGUUAGUAACUGAACAAGUCUUGACGGUACCUAACCAGAAAGCCACGGCUAACUACGUGCCAGCAGCCGCGGUAAUACGUAGGUGGCAAGCGUUAUCCGGAAUUAUUGGGCGUAAAGCGCGCGUAGGCGGUUUCUUAAGUCUGAUGUGAAAGCCCACGGCUCAACCGUGGAGGGUCAUUGGAAACUGGGAAACUUGAGUGCAGAAGAGGAGAGUGGAAUUCCAUGUGUAGCGGUGAAAUGCGCAGAGAUAUGGAGGAACACCAGUGGCGAAGGCGGCUCUCUGGUCUGUAACUGACGCUGAUGUGCGAAAGCGUGGGGAUCAAACAGGAUUAGAUACCCUGGUAGUGCACGC
rnacentral:rRNA from 1 species